rnacentral:rRNA from 1 species
UCGCGNCGGUGCGCGCAGAAGGNUCUGGGCUCGAGCCUGCCUGGAGCCGCCGCCGGUGCAGAUCUUGGUGGUAGUAGCAAAUACUCCAGCGAGGCCCUGGAGGACUGAUGUGGAGAAGGGUUUCGUGUGAACAGCCGUUGCACACGAGUCAGUCGAUCCUAAGCCCUAGGAGAAAUCCGAUGCAAACGGCGAUGGGAAAAACGACUCGAGAUUGAGACCCAUUGAUCGGGCGAAAGGGAAUCCGGUUCCUAUUCCGGAACCCGGCAGCGGAACCGUUGUUUGUCGGGCCCUCGCAAGGGGUUCGUCAGGGUAACCUAAAAGGGCCCGGAGACGCCGUCGGGGGCCCCGGAAAGAGUUUUCUUUUCUGCAUGAGCGUUCGAGUUCCAUGGAAUCCUCUCGCAGGGAGAUAUGGUUUGGAACGCGAAGAGCACCGCAGUUGCGGCGGUGCCCGGGUAUUCCCGACGGACCUUGAAAAUCCGGGAGAGGGCCACGUGGAGGUGUCGCGCCGGCUCGUACCCAUAUCCGCAGCAGGUCUCCAAGGUGNAAAGNCUCUAGUC